UGGGGAAUAUUGCACAAUGGGCGAAAGCCUGAUGCAGCGACGCCGCGUGAGGGAUGACGGCCUUCGGGUUGUAAACCUCUUUCAGCUCCGACGAAGGGUGACUGACGGUAGGAGCAGAAGAAGCGCCGGCCAACUACGUGCCAGCAGCCGCGGUAAGACGUAGGGCGCAAGCGUGGUCCGGAUUUAUUGGGCGUAAAGAGCUCGUAGGCGGCUUGUCGCGGCGACUGUGAAAACCCGCUGCUCAACCGUGUGGUCUGCAGUCGAUACGGGAAGGUCAGAGUUCGGUAGGGGAGACUGGAGUUCCAUGUGUAGCGGUGAAGUGCGCAGAUAUCAGGAGGCACACCGAUGGCGAAGGCGGGUCUCUGGGCCGAUACUGACGCUGAGGAGCGAAAGCGUGGGGAGCGAACAGA
rnacentral:rRNA from 1 species